GGGGAUGAUCAGUUUCGACAGGGAAAUAGGAAUAUGUUUGUGCACAACAAAGCUGAGGCACCUUUUCAACUGCCUCAAAAUCUAAGUGCAAAUAAAACUGCACGUGGAGUUCUUUCACCGAUUCAGAUGAAAGACCUUCAGUUCGCUUACGCGUUAGCCUAAGCGACCAUGCCGCUGCUCGACGUCCGAUGAGGUAGUUGGCGUGUCAUAAAAUUCGGGUUCGAUUCUUAUCUCACUCCGGAUAAAAAUCUAAAGAAAGAGAGUUCGGCAUCGCAUCGUUUCGUUCAUCUUUAAGAUGAGGUGCUUAAAUCACAAGAUGGUCUACGUUGUGUAGAGUCACUCAUAUUCUCUUCUCUGGACGCGAGUGCAAUUCUCGCCAUCUCCACAA
rnacentral:tmRNA from 1 species